AUGGAACAGGCACAGUUAUUUACACCUAAGAGGAGGGGAGUCCACGGGAUCCACACUGUAACCAGGAUAACACCAUACCUGUCUCAACACCCAGGAGAAACAGCAUGUGGUAUCCUCUGCCAGAACAUAUUUGCUUUAAUGUACUUUAUCAGGUGGUCCUUAACAUAGCACUGGUAUCUUCUGCGGCAGCACAAUACACAGGGGAUAGAUCUAACUGAUGAAACCAGUGAAAUGAAAAAGAAAAAGAAAGGAUGAAAUAAAAGGAAGAAUUAACUCUCUUGCCA
rnacentral:lncRNA from 1 species